GCCUCGUCUGACACAAGGAGGACCUCGGGAAACAGCCUUAGGAUGAAGUCUAUGACAUUAUUCGUACUCGUGGCCGUGGCAGUCCUGGUGACAGCUCGGCCGGACGUCCUGGACUUCGAGGGCGAAGAUCACCAACACCAGCAGGAGGGAGACGCCGGGGAUCACGUGGAAGGAUCUUACAGCUGGACGUCACCCGAAGGCCAAGAGUUCUACGUCAAG
rnacentral:misc_RNA from 1 species